rnacentral:tRNA from 1 species
CUAUUCUUAUUCUUCGGAUAGAGCGUUAAACUUCUAAUCCAAAGGUUGCGGGUUCAAGUCCCGUCCAGAGUAGA